UCCGUAGGUGAACCUGCGGAAGGAUCAUUAUCGAAUGAACAUGGAGAUCGGUUGUCGCUGGCUUCUUCAUUGAGGCAUGUGCACGCCUUUCUCUAUUCAUCCACACACACCUGUGAACUUGUGAGACGGAUAGUAGUCCCUCUGAUUUAAUUCGGGGGGGCGAGGUUCGUCUGUCAACUACAUAAACUCCAAUUAAAUAAAUCUGAAUGUAAUCUGAUGUAACGCAUCUUUAAACUAAGUUUCAACAACGGAUCUCUUGGCUCUCGCAUCGAUGAAGAACGCAGCGAAAUGCGAUAAGUAAUGUGAAUUGCAGAAUUCAGUGAAUCAUCGAAUCUUUGAACGCACCUUGCGCUCCUUGGUAUUCCUCGGAGCAUGCCUGUUUGAGUAUCAUGAAAUUAUCAAAAUAAAUCUUUCGUUCACUCGAUCGAUUUUAUUUUGGACUUGGGGGUCUGCAGAUUCACGUCUGCUCUCCUUAAAUUCAUUAGCUGGAUCACUGUAGACUCGGUUCCACUCGGGCGUGGAUAAGGUAUCACUCCGGCUGGAGGGACACUCGGUAAAAAAAGGUGGGCCGGGGGGACU
rnacentral:rRNA from 1 species